rnacentral:rRNA from 1 species
UACGUAGGUGACCAGCGUUGUCCGGAUUUACUGGGCGUAAAGAGCGCGCAGGCGGUCGUUCAAGUCGAGUGUGAAAGCCCCCGGCUCAACUGGGGAGGGUCACUCGAUACUGCUGUGACUCGAGUCCGGUAGGGGAGUGGGGAAUUCCUGGUGUAGCGGUGAAAUGCGCAGAUAUCAGGAGGAACACCGGUGGCGAAGGCGCCACUCUGGGCCGGUACUGACGCUGAGGAGCGAAAGCGUGGGGAGCAAACAGG